rnacentral:rRNA from 1 species
GAUGAACGCUAGCGGCAGGCCUAAUACAUGCAAGUCGAGGGGUAGAAGAGGCUUGCUUCUUUGAGACCGGCGCACGGGUGCGUAACGCGUAUGCAACCUACCUUCAUCUGGGGGAUAGCCCGGAGAAAUCCGGAUUAAUACCGCAUAAAAUCACAGGAUGGCAUUAUCCAAUGAUCAAACAUUUAUGGGAUGGAGAUGGGCAUGCGUGUCAUUAGCUAGUUGGCGGGGUAACGGCCCACCAAGGCGACGAUGACUAGGGGAUCUGAGAGGAUGGCCCCCCACACUGGUACUGAGGCACGGACCAGACUCCUACGGGAGGCAGCAGUAAGGAAUAUUGGUCAAUGGAGGCAACUCUGAACCAGCCAUGCCGCGUACAGGAAGACUGCCCUAUGGGUUGUAAGCUGCUUUUAUUCGGGAAUAAACCUUAUUACGUGUAAUAAGCUGAAUGUACCGAAGGAAUAAGGAUCGGCUAACUCCGUGCCAGCCGCCGCCGUAA